UGUGGCGACAGAAAAUUAACUCGUAUGUGGAUUUCCCAGUAAACGAUCUGAGUCUGGACAAGUUUGUACGGGGACCAGGGAACAACCCUCACUACCAACUGUACGGCGUGUCUAAUCACUAUGGGACAAUGGAUGGCGGUCACUAUACUGCCUACUGUAAGAAUGCUGUGUCCAAGAAGUGGAACAAGUUUGAUGACCAUGAGGUGUUUGAGAUGUCCAGUUCAGAGGUUAAGACUCCUGCUGGUUUUGUGCUAUUCUAUACUACCGUGAACUUCACAGCUCCGACAUAUCGUCAGCCAUUUUGAUCGUUAGUGGUGUUCAUUUCUUUCCAUACGUUAGUAAAAUUUUACAUCAGAUUUAGAACAGCAACAAACUAGAUUUGACUCAUUGAACCGGUAUACCCGGUAGUCAUUAAGGACAGUGUCCAGACUAACAAGGUUCUGAUGUAUAAAGUUGGAAAGAUGUCCAGAAUUCUACUGUUCAAAUGGUUCACCACAUGAAGAAACCUGAUAGUGAUGACAGUGUGUACACAGCUUCUCAGAUGAAUGGAUAAAGUGGCACCCAUGGUAUAGAAAUAUACCUAAUUAACACCAACAUAUAAAAGUAUUAACAAGAGCAUCCUAAAAAUGAUUCUUAUAAGAACUGAUUUUACAUACAGAAAGAGAGUUGGAGUAUGUAUGAUAGAAUUUCUUUCCGAUGUAAUUAAUUCACUUUGAAUUUAAAACGUUUUUUUUCUUCAAUUUUUCGAGGCUGGUAAUAGCGUCAAAUAUUCAACUUUUGAUAUUGUAUUAGAAUACCACUCUGUUCAAUCGAUCAUGAUUACUGUUUGAGUAGCAUCUUUAUUCUACUUUGUAUGUUGAUGUGACUGGAUGGGUAACAAAACUGUAAUAACAGGGGUGGGCUUAUUACCAGAUAGAUUACCUCUACAUAUAUAGAGUAUGUCAUGUUAUCGUCUAAUUCUGUUGAUGCAUGGUAUCCCUGUAGUAGCUGGUGGCUACCUCACUGAACAUCAUAUGGGAUCGAGGCACUGGGGUUACUUGUUUUGCCUAAAAACACAAUAAAAGAGAUGUGUUUGAUCUCAGCUUCCAGAGAAACAGAGGGGUUGGGUGGAGAGAGAGGGAUGGGUGGAGAGAGAGGGAUGGGUGGAGAGGGAGAUAGGGGAUAGAAAGAGAGGGAGAGGGAUGGAGUGGAGAGAGAGUAAUAUAUAUUUAUAUAAAAAUGAUAUUCUUUGAUGUUAAUCUUUGUAUUUAUCUGAUCUGGUUGUUCAGUGUGAUGUGGAUAUUUUUAAAGAUGAUGUUGGAUGUCUGUUCCUCAAUAAAAUUCACCAACACAACCAAUCACCAUUGACAGUCACAGUCUAAUGUAUCUGGUAAUAAGUCCAUGAUCGGUAAAAAACACCACCUAUGUCUAUAGCAUUUGUUGAAAUACAAACUAGGGCCGUUUUCAUUGAUCAUGGUCAAAAUGGUUGGAUCAGAGGUGUUCAUUUAUGAAAUCAUUUGUAUUUAGAUGAGAAUUGGAGUGACUUUUAUGGCCGUCAAUAACAUCUACAUGUCCAUCAAGAUAUAUGUCUGAAAUAUUACAUUUAAAAAAGAACGAUCUUGUUUGUCCACAUAAAUGAACAUGUUUUUUUAUUGAUAAAUAAUUUGUGUUGACAGGUUGAUGAUAGUGGCAGUUGUUGAUUGUAGUAGAUCAUAAUAGAUUUCAGUGUAAAUAAAUUAAUUAUUCUGCCGUGUAAAUAAAGGUGGAGAAUUUAUUCAGAUAUACAGGUAUGUUGGUGAUUAAUGUUUAGGUAGUUGUUAAUCCAGGUUUGUUUUUACUGAAAAUAUUGGUUCAAAUUUUAACAAUGCACCAAAUAUUCGAAACAUUUGUUUAUGGAAAUCAUAGAAAGGACCAUAAUUUGCUGCAAUUAAGUUUUUUCAAGAGGUUUGCAAAAAUUAUGAAAAAGGUCUUCUUAAAAUAACAACCUAAUUUUAGUAUCUUCUCUGUCUGCGUAUUUUUACGGAUAUUGUAUAUUUUCCUACUAAUCAAGUUACAUAUUGACUUGGUGAAAAACCAAUAGAUUUGUGAUAUUAACACACAUAGAACUUAUCCGGAGGAUUUGUUAUCGAGUCAGUGAGGGAUAGACUCGUAGAUAUGUAUAUAAACAGACUACAUCAUCACUUCAUUUGUUAUUGAAUGAAACUGAAACUUUGUGUUUCAACCACAUGGGGUCAAAAAUGAGGUUGUUCUUACUAUGAAUAGAUAUUUUACCAUCCCCACUCUACUGACGUCAUUAAUUGGCCAUUUGUCCUGAAACUUCAUACAAAUAUUCACAGCCAUCGUUUCUUGCACGUUUUUGCAUUUCACCCACCUGGGAUCAGAAAUAAGGUCAAUGUAACUAUAAAUAGAUUGACAUUAGUAAUUUGUCCUUGGCGUGAAAUGAUUCAUAUCAUCUGUAUUGCCUUGUUACUUUUGCGGUGUAAAAAUCUGUUUGAAAGAAUCAUUUGAAGAUAAGAUGUUCUUGAAAUUCAGUAAAAAAUGUCAUAGAUUUAAUCUUGGCAUAAUGUUUUAGAUGAAGAUAAGAGUAAUGUAUUACUCUUUUGCCUGAAAGUUUUGUUUUGCUCAGUUUCUUAGAAAGAAGGAUGUAGUUUGGCACCAAAGUCAAAAUAGGAUUGUAUUGUUUUAAAUAUAUUAUUCCUGUUGUUUGUAUGAUCUUCUGUCUGUUUGUCCAUAUGUCUGUUUGUCUAUAUGUCUGUUUGUCCAUAUGACUUUGUCCAUAUGUCUGUUUGUCCAUCUGUCUGGGUGUCCAUCUGUCUGUUCGUCCAUAUGACUUUGUCCAUAUGUCUGUUUGUCCAUCUGUCUGGGUGUCCAUCUGUCUGUUUGUCCAUAUGACUUUGUCCAUCUGUCUGGGUGUCCAUCUGUCUGUGAUGAUUGAUCAUGGGACAUAAGUUUCCUGAAAGGUGGACCAAAAAUCUGCACUAAAAAAAUAUUUAUCAAUCUAGUCAGGCCCCAGCUUCAUGAACAUCCCUUAACAUUGGAAAAUAUUCUUAACUUUAGUUUGUAGGUUUUUUUUGUUUAUACAAAUUUUGAUUAUCUCCUUUGUUGCCUCCCUGGUAUCAAUACUUUGGACCUUUAGCAUCACUGACAAGUCCUGAAAGGAUGAAAUGACUGUAUGAUACAGGUUUUUUUUAUCUAUUUAUUAUACAGCUUGUAUUAAAGUAUGUUGAUAUCUUGUAGCAUUGUAUAGUCUGAAAUCCUUGGAACAUUCUCCCUUAGUCAGUCCUUUCCUGUAGAAGUUAAGGAAUAUCUUUACAUUAAGUUUGAGAAACUGGGGCUAAGUUAAACAAAUUAUGUAAUAUACUCAGCUUAAUGUACUGCUAAAAUAAUAUCACCACUAAAAUAAAGUUGCUGCUAAAAUAUUGUCCCCCUAAUAUACAUGUAAUGUAAGAAAUAUUUCGUUUUGGUUGUAAUCGGUGGCAUAUCUUUAUGUGAAUCCCAUCAGUACUAUAUAUAUUGUAUAUACAUGGUGUCAGAUUUUGUAAAUUGUGAAAAUUUUCAACUUUAGAAUGUUGAAUUUUCUUUUAUAUUUUCUAAUUAUCUGACUUUUCUGUUGGUGUUGUAGAUAUAUUAAGAGCACAGGGAUUUGACACAAAUUCCCAGGGCUAUUACACAUAUACUGACCAUGGGGUUGACAAUUGGUACCAAAUCCCUGUGAUCCUGGGAUAAAUGCAAUAUGUUCGAGUUGGAUGGAAAUAUUGUUUUUUGGUACAUACUCUUUAAUGUAUUUUACCAAAUUCAAGAGCCUUUGUGAGUCUUGUGGUCUGCAAAUGUACAUAAAGAUUUAAGUUUUUAGACCAGAAAAAAUGAACUUGGAAUGUAAAGUUACUUGUAAUACCAGGAAUGCAUCCAAGUGGAAAUAUUUUGUCCUUCAUUUUCUUUUUGUGAACAUACCAAAAUAAUGUACAAAUUUUACCCAGCAUACAAAUUUAGAGGCUAUGUUAUAAUACAAAAUGUACAGAGUUUUUUUUUUUACCUGAAAUGAAAAUGAAAAUGAAAAAUCUGAAGAUACUCCUCUUCUUUUGCUUUGGGAAACAGUCUGUUUUUGGCUGAAAUGUUGCAAUGUUGAAAGAGAACAUAGUACCAUAAAGGUAUUGUUUUCUGUGAUCAUUGUUUUCUGUGAUCAUUGUUUUCUGUGAUCAUUGGUUUCUGUGAUCAUUGGUUUCUGUGAUCAUUGUUUUCUGUGCAUUGUUUUCUGUGAUCAUUGUUUUCUGUGCAUUGUUUUCUGUGAUCAUUGGUUUCUGUGAUCAUUGUUUUCUGUGAUCAUUGUUUUCUGUGAUCAUUGUUUUCUGUGAUCAUUGUUUUCUGUGAUCAUUGUUUUCUGUGAUCUUCUGUUGGAAAUUGUCACGGUAUUUGUUACCUCAUAUGUGUAUAUCAUGAGAUUUGUGUUAAGGGUGUAUGUUACCUUUAUAAUCAGAUGACUUUCUUAGGGUUAAGUGUCAUAUCUUAGUCCUCUACUGGUAAAACUUGGUGGGGGGGGGGGGG